CCUACGGGAGGCAGCAGUGAGGAAUAUUGGUCAAUGGCCGUAAGGCUGAACCAGCCAAGUCGCGUGAAGGAAGAAGGAUCUAUGGUUUGUAAACUUCUUUUAUAGGGGAAUAAAGGUCUCCACGUGUGGAUAUUUGCAUGUACCCUAUGAAUAAGCAUCGGUUAACUCCGCGCCAGCAGCCGCGGUAAUACGGAGGAUGCGAGCGUUAUCCGGAUUUAUUGGGUUUAAGGGGUGCGUAGGUGGUUUUUUAAGUCUGUGGUGAAAGUUGGUGGCUCAACCAUAAGAUUGCCGUUGAAACUGGACGGCUGGAGUGUAGUGGGGGUAAGUGGAAUGCGUGGUGUAGAGGUGAAAUGCAAAGAUAUUAGGAGGAACAC
rnacentral:rRNA from 1 species